rnacentral:tRNA from 1 species
GGAUUGUGGCUCAGUGGUAGAGCGCUCCUCUAGCACAUGUGAGGCCCUGGGUUCAAUCCUCAGCACCA